GGGAUUCAUUAAGGCAAGAGCAGCAGCGAACGGCAGCUGCCCUGCAGGUGGGCCACGUCGCUGGGCUGCAUUCUCCCCCAAUGAACCCAAUUCGACCCUGAGACUCUCAAAAGGAAAAGGACACAAUUGAAAACACUGGUUAUAUUACCAAAGCUGUGACUGAAGUGACAUAUUUGAGAGAGGCACAUGUAUACUCAGAC